UGGUGUCGGUGGGCAUAGAUUUUGUGUGAGCAUAAGAAAAAUUUCGAAGUCCUUGCAUACUAUUUGCUCCCCGGUAGUCAGUAUCCCCUUAUUACCAAUUCUUUAUUAGCUUUCAUCUCACAAUUGAAGUUGUGAAUUAUUAGAGCAGAAUGAAAAUUUUCCAUUGCCUUGAAGGCCCUCUAAAGACCGAUCCACAAUUCAAAGCAAGGGGCAAAGCAUCAGCAUCAAGAAUGUCAGAUUUAAAGAUCUUGAAUUUCUAAUCUGAUGGGGCAAAAGGCUUUUGCUAUCUCUACCCAGGGAAUUGCAUAUAAAAGAAAAGAGAGAACAAGAAAAUAAGGGCAUUCGGAGAGCAUUAUCCACAGGAAUUAGACAGCAAGAACUAAAGGAACAGGACUCGUCGAAGGAAGAACAUCAAUCCAGAACUUUCUACUGAGAAGAUGAGUGUUUUGAAAGACAUUUAACUGUAAAAAUGGAGUCAAACAUUUUUUAUUUAAUAAUAUUUAGUCAAAACUCCAAAA